rnacentral:tRNA from 2 species
UGACGGGUAGCUCAGUGGUAGAGCAUUGAAAACAUCCUUUUUCGUCACUUACCUGCAAAGGUCGCAGAUUUAGGGUUAUCGCCUGAAACGCCAAGUGUCGGGGGUUCGAGUCCCUCUCCGUCAA